CAGCAGCCGCGGUAAAACGUAGGGCGCAAGCGUUAUCCGGAAUUAUUGGGCGUAAAGAGCUCGUAGGCGGUUUGUCGCGUCUGCUGUGAAAUCCCGAGGCUCAACCUCGGGCCUGCAGUGGGUACGGGCAGACUAGAGUGCGGUAGGGGAGAUUGGAAUUCCUGGUGUAGCGGUGGAAUGCGCAGAUAUCAGGAGGAACACCGAUGGCGAAGGCAGAUCUCUGGGCCGUAACUGACGCUGAGGAGCGAAAGGGUGGGGAGCAAACAGGCUUAGAUACCCCCGUAGUCCCUGUCUCUUAUAC
rnacentral:rRNA from 1 species